rnacentral:rRNA from 1 species
CAUGAAGCUGGAAUCGCUAGUAAUCGCGAAUCAGCAUGUCGCGGUGAAUACGUUCCCGGGCCUUGUACACACCGCCCGUCACACCAUGGGAGUUUAGAGCACCCGAAGUCAGUGAGGCAACCGGAAGGAGCCAGCUGCCGAAGGUGAGCUAAGUAACUGGGGUGAAGUCGUAACAAGGUACC